UAUGUAUAUGGAGGGAGAUAGGGUCUGAUUAGGUUAACGGUAGGAUAACAGUGACAAUUAGUUGGAAUAGCUUGUUGGACUCGUUGCAUCUCCUAAAUCUGGCACACAUGCAAAUUUGAUUUCGCACCGUACACAAUUGUGGUUGUGCUGACAAAAUUUUAUGGUUUCCAUAAUCGAACUGUUGUGUAGCAGUUGUACAUUCUGAAGGGCUCUAGGAUCACAAAUAACUCGUCCAGUAGCAAUAACGCUGAAAUCGAGUAAUCAACACGAGUCAUGGCGCCUACGAGAUCUCUGAUACCAUGCAGCUUAUCGAGCCGGUAGAGCAACAUUCCACGCUUGAAACUGUUGUCAAGAGAAAGGACAGAGGCAAACUACUUUUAAACAGAUUGUUCAUUAAGGCACGAGCAAUAGCAAGAGAUCAGAAAUCUGUUUGACGGGAAUUUGUGUCGCGAUGCAGCAAGAACAAUGCUGGGAAUACAACCGAGGAAAUGGAUGGCCUUAAAAGCAACCUCGUACACGAAUUGCCGAGGAAGAA
rnacentral:misc_RNA from 1 species